rnacentral:rRNA from 1 species
UACGAAGGGGGCUAGCGUUGCUCGGAAUCACUGGGCGUAAAGGGUGCGUAGGCGGGUCUUUAAGUCAGGGGUGAAAUCCUGGAGCUCAACUCCAGAACUGCCUUUGAUACUGAGGAUCUUGAGUACGGGAGAGGUGAGUGGAACUGCGAGUGUAGAGGUGAAAUUCGUAGAUAUUCGCAAGAACACCCGUGGCUAAGGCGGCUCUCUAGUACGGUACUGACGCUGAGACGCGAAAGCGUGGGGAGCGAACAGG